rnacentral:rRNA from 1 species
UACGGGGGAGCAAGCGUUGUUCGGAUUUACUGGGCGUAAAGGGCGCGUAGGCGGCUUGUCAAGUCACUUGUGAAAUCUCUGGGCUUAACCCAGAACGGCCAAGUGAAACUGACAUGCUAGAGUGCAGAAGGGGCAAUCGGAAUUCUUGGUGUAGCGGUGAAAUGCGUAGAUAUCAAGAGGAACACCUGAGGUGAAGACGGGUUGCUGGGCCGACACUGACGUGAUGCGCGAAAGCCAGGGGAGCAAACGGG